rnacentral:rRNA from 1 species
GGUUGUCCCGGUUUAAGCAUGUAGGCGGAGGUUCCAGGUAAAUCCGGUACCUUUUAACGCUGAGGUGUGAUGACGAGGCACUACGGUGCUGAAGUAACAAAUGCCCUGCUUCCAGGAAAAGCCUCUAAGCAUCAGGUAACACGAAAUCGUACCCCAAACCGACACAGGUGGUCAGGUAGAGAAUACCAAGGCGCUUGAGAGAACUCGGGUGAAGGAACUAGGCAAAAUGGUGCCGUAACUUCGGGAGAAGGCACGCUGAUAUGUAGGUGAAGCCCCUGCGGGUGGAGCUGAAAUCAGUCGAAGAUACCAGCUGGCUGCAACUGUUUAUUAAAAACACAGCACUGUGCAAACACGAAAGUGGACGUAUACGGUGUGACGCCUGCCCGGUGCCGGAAGGUUAAUUGAUGGGGUUAGCGGUAACGCGAAGCUCUUGAUCGAAGCCCCGGUAAACGGCGGCCGUAACUAUAACGGUCCUAAGGUAGCGAAAUUCCUUGUCGGGUAAGUUCCGACCUGCACGAAUGGCGUAAUGAUGGCCAGGCUGUCUCCACCCGAGACUCAGUGAAAUUGAACUCGCUGUGAAGAUGCAGUGUACCCGCGGCAAGACGGAAAGACCCCGUGAACCUUUACUAUAGCUUGACACUGAACACUGGUCCUUGAUGUGUAGGAUAGGUGGGAGGCUUUGAAGCGUGGACGCCAGUCUGCGUGGAGCCAACCUUGAAAUACCACCCUUUAAUGGCUGGUGUUCUAACGUAGACCCGUAAUCCGGGUUGCGGACAGUGUCUGGUGGGUAGUUUGACUGGGGCGGUCUCCUCCCAAAGAGUAACGGAGGAGCACGAAGGUUAGCUAAUCCUGGUCGGACAUCAGGAGGUUAGUGCAAUGGCAUAAGCUAGCUUGACUGCGAGAGUGACGGCUCGAGCAGGUGCGAAAGCAGGUCAUAGUGAUCCGGUGGUUCUGAAUGGAAGGGCCAUCGCUCAACGGAUAAAAGGUACUCCGGGGAUAACAGGCUGAUACCGCCCAAGAGUUCAUAUCGACGGCGGUGUUUGGCACCUCGAUGUCGGCUCAUCACAUCCUGGGGCUGAAGUAGGUCCCAAGGGUAUGGCUGUUCGCCAUUUAAAGUGGUACGCGAGCUGGGUUUAGAACGUCGUGAGACAGUUCGGUCCCUAUCUGCCGUGGGCGCUGGAGAAUUGAGGGGGGCUGCUCCUAGUACGAGAGGACCGGAGUGGACGCAUCACUGGUGUUCGGGUUGUCAUGCCAAUGGCACUGCCCGGUAGCUAAAUGCGGAAGAGAUAAGUGCUGAAAGCAUCUAAGCACGAAACUUGCCCCGAGAUGAGUUCUCCCUGAGACUUAAAGUCUCCUGAAGGAACGUUGAAGACGACGACGUUGAUAGGUCGGGUGUGUAAGCGCAGCGAUGCGUUGAGCUAACCGAUACUAAUGAACCGUGAGGCUUAACCUUACAACGCCGAAGGUGUUU